rnacentral:rRNA from 1 species
AUUGAACGCUGGCGGCAGGCCUAACACAUGCAAGUCGAACGGUAGCACAGAGAGCUUGCUCUCGGGUGACGAGUGGCGGACGGGUGAGUAAUGUCUGGGAAACUGCCCGAUGGAGGGGGAUAACUACUGGAAACGGUAGCUAAUACCGCAUAACGUCGCAAGACCAAAGUGGGGGACCUUCGGGCCUCACACCAUCGGAUGUGCCCAGAUGGGAUUAGGUAGUAGGUGGGGUAAUGGCUCACCUAGGCGACGAUCCCUGGCUGGUCUGAGAGGAUGACCAGCCACACUGGAACUGAGACACGGUCCAGACUCCUACGGGAGGCAGCAGUGGGGAAUAUUGCACAAUGGGCGCAAGCCUGAUGCAGCCAUGCCGCGUGUAUGAAGAAGGCCUUCGGGUUGUAAAGUACUUUCAGCGGGGAGGAAGGCGGUGAAGUUAAUAGCUUCACCGAUUGACGUUACCCGCAGAAGAAGCACCAGCUAACUCCGUGCCAGCAGCCGCCGCCG